rnacentral:rRNA from 1 species
AUGUGAUGUUCAUGUGUGUAUGUUUGUUUUGUAUACAGCUUGUGCUCAAUGAUUCACAUUUCUUGCAAGUGAAAUGCAAAUUGCAUGGUAAAGUUCAUGUGACAUGAUACAUGCUUGAGAUUCAUGAUGUGCAAGUACCAUGAGGGAAAUGUGAAAAGGACUUUGGAAAGAGAAUUAAACAAAGCCUGCAAUUGCUGAAAAUGAAAGCAAGUGUUAAUGUUUGGAAAUGUUUCUGCAAAUCAUGACAUCCAUACAUGUUGUAGUUGCAACACAUUUUCGAUUGCUUUACUAAGUGCAUGUAGCAACCACAGGAUGACUGUUCUUCUUUGAUUCAGUUGUACUGAGGUGUGUGUGCACUUGUGUUAAAAAUGAAUGCGUUUCACUAUGUGUCAUUCAGUGGCUUCAUGUAUGUUUUAUACAUGCUCUUUGAUGCUAUGCCAUGACCUGCAACAUGUCUGUUAGUAUUUUCACUUGACCCGUCUUGAAACACGGACCAAGGAGUCUGGCUAAGUGUGCAAACUGACUUUGUGUAUAGACUUGUAUGUAAUGAAAAUGUUUGUUGUUUGUUGUCACUACCAAUCAACUAUCAGAUUGUUGAUUACUUGAAUGUGAGCAUUGUUGCUAGGACCCGAAAGAUGGUGAACUAUGCUU